ACCCGUUGAUCCUGCGGGAGAUCGCUGCUAUUUGGAUUCGACUAAGCCAUGCAAGUCAGGGGACUUCGGUCACCGGCAUAAGGCUCAGUAACACGUCGAUAACCUGCCCUUAGGCCAGGAAUAGCCUUGGGGAACUGAGGGUAACGCCUGAUAGGGGAAAAGAAUUGGAAUAUUCUUUCCUGGAAAGGUAACACCUAAGGAUGGGUCGGCGGCGGAUUAGGUUGUUGGAGGGGUAACGGCCCACCAAGCCAAAGAUCCGUAGGGGCUCUGAGAGGAGUAGCCCCGAGAAGGGCACUGAGAUACUGGCCCUAGCCCUACGGGGUGCAGCAGGCGCGAAACCUUUACAAUGCACGCAAGUGUGAUAAGGGAAUCCAAAGUGCUUAGUUUACUAGGCUUUUGCCAAGUGUAAAUAGCUUGGAGAAUAAGCGGUGGGAAGGACUGGUGCCAGCCGCCGCGUAACACCAGCGCCGCUAGUGGGGAUCCUCUUUAUUUGGCCUAAAGCGUCCGUAGCUGGUUUGAUAAAUCUCUUGUGAAAUUGUUCGGCUUAACCGAGCAGCGUGCAGGGGAGACUGUCAGGCUAGGGACCGGGAGGAGUUAGGGAUAUGCCGGGGGGAGCGGUAAAAUGCAAUAAUCCCCGGUGGAUCACCUGUGGCGAAGGCGCCUAACUAGAACGGGUCCGACAGUGAGGGACGAAAGCCAGGGGAGCAAACCGGAUUAGAUACCCGAGUAGUCCUGGCUGUAAACGCUGCGAGCUAGGUGUUGCAUCAUCUCCGCGAUGGUGCAGUGUCGAAGCGAAGGUGUUAAGCUCGCCGCCUGGGAAGUACGGUCGCAAGACUGAAACUUAAAGGAAUUGGCGGGGGAGCACUACAAGGGGUGCGGCGUGCGGUUUAAUCUAACUCCACACAGAGAAUCUCACCAGAGGCGACGGCAGGAUGAAGGUCAGUCUAAAGGGCUUACCUGACGAGCCGAGAGGUAGUGCAUGGCCGCCGUCAGCUCGUGCCGUAAGGUGUCCUGUUAAGUCAGGCAACGAGCGAGACCUGUAUCCACAAUUGCUAACGACCCAUUCCGGGAAUCGAGCACAUUGUGGGGACUGCCUUGGAAACAAGGAGGAAGGUGCAGGCAACGGUAGGUCUGUAUGCUCCGAAUCUUCUGGGCUACACGCGCGCAACAAUGGUACGGACAAUGGGCUGCAACUCCGAAAGGAGAAGCGAAUCCUCGAAACUGUAUCUUAGUCCGGAUUGAGGGCUGUAACCCGCCCUCAUGACGCUGGAAUCCCUAGUAAUCGAACAUUAUCAGUGUUCGGUGAAUAUGUCCCUGCUCCUUGCACACACCGCCCGUCAAACCACCCGAGUUGGGUCUAGAUGAGGCUUCAUUUUCAAUGAAGUCGAAUCUAAGCUUAGCGAGGAGGGUUAAGUCGUCACAAGGUA
rnacentral:rRNA from 1 species